AUUCCAUUCCUUAUUGCACCUUAAGUCUCAGCUGUAAAGUACGAUGGUGUGUAUAUAUAUAUAUGCAUACCUUGGAGGUACUGCAGGUUCAAUUUGAGACCACUGCAAUUAAGCAAACAUCAUAAUAAAAUCAAAAGGCAGGAUGUGGAUGAAUUGCCCAAAUUACUUUGCCAACAUAAGGCAGCAGCCAGUCUGAGCUCUGAUCUAUAUCCCAGCUAGCAAAGAGUCAAAGAGCCUCUUAAUUCAAUUUCCUAUAAUCUCCAACUAAAUCCCACUGGAAAAUUCUCAUCAUAUUUCAAGAGAGCCCUUGGACUUUUGUUAGGAUGGACUUAACUCUCAUCUUUGCAAAAAGACAGUGUUCCCAUGGUGAUGAGGAUGACAUCAUCGGGACUGGUUCCUGCCGUGAAUACAGUCCCAUUGAUCACCACGGGAAUAGAUGGGAUAAGAGAUAACAGGAUUUUCUGUACAAACACAGUGAGAAAAAUGGGUAUCUAAGAAAUUAAAUACACUUGUGUAAGGUCACACAGCUGACAAGAGGCCAAUCUGGAAUUUGAACCCAGUCUACCACUCUCUUAAAGGACCCCAAGAAGAUAUGGAAUUGAUGCAUCAUCCCAGAAGCACUCUAAAGACUACCCAGCAGGGCUUUCCAGCAGCCACAUAAACGUCCUAUAAAGCCUCUCUUCACACCUAGGUCACACAAAGGUGGGAAAGACUCAGUGCUGUCCUGAAGACUGUCCAGUUCCUGAAAUCCAUAUGUUCACUGGAUCUUUAUGUGUACAACAUUCCUCUUUAGCCCUCACUGGCGAGCAUCCUCUCAUGCCAGUGUCUCCACUCUUAACUACUCUCCCCUCCUCCCUCCUGGAAUCUUGGAGGAUUUCUGAGAGUCUACCAUCAUUGCAACACAUUUCUCCUCCAUUAUAACAUCAACCAUGCCACACUUUCCAU